rnacentral:rRNA from 1 species
UACAGAGGGUGCGAGCGUUAAUCGGAAUUACUGGGCGUAAAGCGUGCGUGGACGGUUAUUUAAGUCGGAUGUGAAAGCCCCGGGCUCAACCUGGGAAUUGCAUUCGAGACUGAAUAGCUAGGGUGCGGUAGAGGGAAGCGGAAUUUCCGGUGUAGCGGUGAAAUGCGUAGAUAUCGGAAGGAACAUCAGUGGCGAAAGCGGCUUCCUGGACCAGCACCGACGUUCAGGCACGAAAGCGUGGGGAGCAAACAGG